rnacentral:rRNA from 1 species
AUGUAUGUUCCUAUAGUGUUAAUGCAUUGGAUCCCAUCAUAAUUUUGUAGUUAAGCGUGCUUGAGCUAGAGUAGUGGUGGUAUGGGUGACCUCUCGGGAAGUCCUAGUGUUUUACAUG